rnacentral:rRNA from 1 species
CGAAGUCUGGUGCCAGCAGCCGCGGUAAUUCCAGCUCCAAUAGCGUAUAUUAAAGUUGUUGCAGUUAAAAGCUCGUAGUUGAAUUUCGGGGUUAGUAGGUUGGUCGUGCCUUUGGUAUGUACUGGUCUCACUGAUUCCUCCUUCUUGAAGAACUGUAAUGUCAUUAAUUUGGUGUUGCAGGGAAACAGGACUGUUACUUUGAAAAAAUUAGAGUGUUUAAAGCAGGCUAACGCCUGAAUACAUUAGCAUGGAAUAAUGAAAUAGGACGUUUGAUCCUAUUUUAGUUGGUUUCUAGGGAUUGACGUAAUGAUUAAUAGGGAUAGUUGGGGGCAUUAGUAUUCAAUUGUCAGAGGUGAAAUUCUUGGAUUUAUUGAAGACUAACUACUGCGAAAGCAUUUGCCAAGGAUGUUUUCAUUAAUCAAGAACGAAAGUUAGGGGAUCGAAGACGAUCAGAUACCGUCGUAGUCUUAACCAUAAACUAUGCCGACUAGGGAUCGGAUGAUGUUAAUUUUUUAAUGACUCAUUCGGCGCCUUACG